rnacentral:rRNA from 1 species
AUGGGCGCAAGCCUGACCCAGCCAUCCCGCGUGCAGGAUGACGGCCCUAUGGGUUGUAAACUGCUUUUGUUUGAGAAGAACUAAGUACAUUAAUGUGCUUUUGACGGUAUCUUACGAAUAAGCACCGGCUAACUCCGUGCCAGCAGCCGCGGUAAUACGGAGGGUGCAAGCGUUAUCCGGAAUCACUGGGUUUAAAGGGUGCGUAGGCGGCAUAAUAAGUCAGAGGUGAAAGCUUGCGGCUCAACCGUAAAAUUGCCUUUGAUACUGUUAUGCUUGAAUCAGGUUGAGGUAGGCAGAAUGUGGCAUGUAGCGGUGAAAUGCAUAGAUAUGCCAUAGAAUACCAAUUGCGAAGGCAGCCUGCUGGACCUGUAUUGACGCUGAGGCACGAAAGCGUGGGGAUCAAA